GCACCACUGAGGAGUCCCAGAGUAGGACGAAACAACCGUCCAGUGC
rfam:Schistosoma curassoni strain Dakar, Senegal genome assembly, scaffold: SCTD_scaffold0000936